rnacentral:lncRNA from 1 species
GUCGCAGCUCCUCCUGCGUCGCCCUGAGUAAAGACAAAGAGUAAAGACCAAGGCUGGGGCAACCGAUGGGACCAGGAAGAGAGGGGGGUCAAAUGAAGGCUGGGCAUUUCAUAAUGAGAAACUGGAUAUGAAGAUGGAGAAACCAAAGACCAAGACAGGCUAAAGUAGAGGACUGGGGCCGGGCGGUCACCUUGUCUGGGAGGACGCCUUUGAAUUGGUUGAGUGUGACAACAUUUGAUCUGGUAGCUGACACGCCUGUCAACCUCGGCCGCACCCCAUCUCCAGAAACUACGUUUCCCAGCAUUA